rnacentral:lncRNA from 1 species
GCUAAGGACCGAACAUUUUGACAUCUAAUCAAGCACCCUACGUACUUACCACAUGCCUUAUUUGGGACCGGCUUGUUCUUACUAGUUCUACUGUGAUCAUUUAUACCACAUUGGAGAGUCGUGAGGCAGGUAGCCUUUGGAGGGCCUCGGGUGCCUAGGUUUGGCCGGGGGUGCCUCCCGCGUGGCGCGCCCGCCUUGGUCACAUCACGCACACACGUGACUGAGUCGUUGGGAACCCCAACGUGGUAUAGGUGGUUAGGGUGGGGCUAAAGAAGGGCAUGUAAUGAGCUUGAAUCACUUGUGUACCGCACUUGACGGGGUGCGUAGCAUUUGAACUUUGUUCAUUUCGUGUGGGUCCAGUUGGACACCUCUGAUCAGAGUAUAAUCUAUUCGAAUAGCCGCGUCCUCGGUUAUGGACAUUGCUUGAUGUGUAUCUCACUCAUGUUAGCAUCAAAUGUGGAUUAUUAUGGAUGGGAUUAUGUUUGAUGGUGGUGUUGGCAUGUUGUGCCAUGUUGGUAUGGACUUUGGUAGUCCAUGGUUGAUGAUGAGAGUGCCGUUUGGGCUCAUUUGCUUAUACAUUUCAGAAUUAUAUACUUGCUGUCCAUAAAUUAAAAUGAUGCUAGAUUUACUUGUCCUUGCUUAUUUUACUCAUUAAUUGCUCAAUAAAAUUAGCUUUAUGCAAAUGUUGAACCUAGAGACCCACUAUAGGCUAGAAAGCUUGCAUACUUCUCUCCCUUUUGUAUAUAUAAUUUUGGGUAAGACUUGCGAGUAUAAUCUUGUACUUAAUCUGGUGUCUGCAAUUUCAGGAGAGGAUUCCGAUUAUGAGUUAUGCUUCUUGUGUGGUCAUUGCUCUGCCGAAGGCGGCGAGGGCAAUGAGUGAUAUCUUGCAGCUUGGCUCUUGCCUGGUUGGUUGCCCUAGUGGGGUUUGGCACCACCAGUUUUAUCUUUUGCUUAUGAACUCUAUUUGAGACUUCCACUGCUAUAUUUAUGUGUUGUAUAUUGGGACCUCGGACCCUAUUAUGUGUCAUGUACCUCGCUGCACUUUAACCCUAUUAUGGUACUUGCUAUGUUUAUUAAUUGCUUGCGAUGAAAGUGUGAGGCUAAUCGUAUUCCUGGGGACUAGCUAAGCAUGAGUAACGGGUUUUGAUCGCUUGAGAUAAUCGGGGAUAGCGCUUUGGAUCGAGUCACUAGGGUAUGCUUUUGGUCGCCACCUUCGAGUGGUUGAUGGGCAUAUGACGGUGCGGACUGGCAAGCUAUCUUACGGUUAUGUCUUGCGCUCACUACUCGACAUUCCGGUUAUUAUAACAGAAGGUUAUCAACCGCGAUCAUGGACACAUUGAGGAUGAGUGGCUAUUUAUGCGUGUAUGGAUCCCACGUCUCCAAUAGUAUGUGGUGGUCGUGUUGGACACUGGAUGGUAUAAUACUCGGGGUGUCCACAGGUACGGCUGGUUUCUCUAUCGGUAGAGUUUUCUGUGGAGCAACGACUCGCGGCCUGACGCUCCGGAAGAAAGCUUCUGGAUUUUCUUUGAAGUUUUCCGGCAGGUUGAAACCAGUCAUGCACUACCCUGUUUUCACAAGAGUGAAAACAACCAAGGUUAGCCUGCAAAGGAAAAUGAUUAUACAGAGGUAAAUAUAAAGUAUUAGUUCAAUUAAUCUCUAUCAUGAAUCUUCCCCGGCAACAGCGCCAGAAAUGUUUGUUGGUAUUUCUUAACAAUAUUACUAGAAAUACUUCUGGUAUAUUAUGAUUACAAAGUUCAUCCGCAAACAUACGGAUAUACUAUUGUAGCAUUUCACCCGAGAGUAUUCCAAGGGUAUCGUAUUUAUUUUAUCCCGUGGGAAGAUCAUGUAGAGAGAACUCAACUAAUAACUUAUAUAUUACUUGUGAUAAUCAUAUUCUAAGCAGGGUAAGAUAAUCUAAGGGUAGAGUGACACACAAGCAUUACUACUCAUCCUCAUAAUAAUGAAUCUAAGCUAGGUGGAAAGAAAAGAAAAAGAGAAUCUAUUCCUAUACUUCUAAUACACAUGGAAUACAUACAUUCUAGUUAACUGGUAUACUAGCUAAUACCCUCUAUUCGAUGCCCUUCUGGUACUUCGAGAAGCCACUCCUGACUGCCGAGUUCCUUAGGACAGCCCGUCAUGACCAUCCAACCAGGGCUAAAUACGGAGGAAUACCCUCCCUAGGAAAUUAACUUAGGAUUAUAUAUAGGCGCGGUGGAAUACCCGUACUGAGCUGUCUCCAUCAUCGGCCCACCUCUCAUCUGCAAUAUAUAACCCCAAAUAAUGAUAUUCCGUAAUCUAGACACCACAUCUAAACUACCAGAUACUACUCUAAUAUCAUCGUCAUGACAUAGAGUAAUUGCAUAAGCAAACACUAUACCCGCACCAAAACAUCUCCCAGAUAAGCUAGCAGUAUAUUCAGCAUAACAUGAACAUAAUGUAAAGUAGGUACUCAUAUACUCGGAAAGUAUUCCAAUACCAGAAAUGUAUUUAGAAGAGUAUUAUAAUAAAAGUACAAAGCUUACAUAAGAGGAAAGGAAAGUUACUAGAGCCAUACCCGAACUCUUCCGAAGGCUUCCGCACUCCUGAUUCCUAUUCUAGUUCUAUUUCACCAGCUAGAUACUACUAAACUAAACUUAAGAGGAAUGAGAGAGCUCUUGCUUGAGGUGUGUGUUGAAGUGAAGAGAGUGAGCUCCUUAUAUACAGGUAGGUAUGACGGUUGUGGAAGGGGAAUUGUCCGAAGUACCCUCCAACCGUCAUUGGGGUGCAAUCUUGGACGUCCAUGCCAAACCCUGGCCUCAACGGUGGAGAUGGGGGUUCGGCCGAACCAUGGGUUGGCCCAAACCAGCCCAUCUUCGGCUGGCGACUUCCUCUAUUGCUCCACUCCGCAGACUUGUGAAUUUUGGCCCAAUUCAUUGUGUCAAUUCUGAGUUCUUGGCCCAUUCAUACAUAAGUCUGGUUCUCGACAUCGUCCGAUUGAUUAUCGUUUGUGUUGAUGUCGAUUCUCCUCCACUUUAUUGUCAUUCUCUGCAAAAGGUUAGUAGACCUAAUACUAGUGGAAUAUUAUUAUUCUAACAAACAUAUGCAUUGCAAGCAUCACUAGUUCUCUCCUGUUUUAGUAAUACGUUUUAGUAAUAUUGACGGUCGAAACUGAUCGAUAACGAUCGUCAACAGCGUCGGGCAGGGAGGACGCGGCGCAGCAUCGGCGUCGAGAGGAGGCGGCGCCGGCGUCGGGCGGGGAGGAGGCGGCGCCGGCGUCGGUGGGGAGGAGGUGGCGCCAGCGUCGGGAGGGGUCGGAGGCGGCGCGGCGACAGGUAGGAGGAGGCGAGGCGGCGGCGUCGGGAGGAGGCGGCGCUGGCGUCGAGCGGGGAGGAGGCGGCGUCGGCGUCGGGAAGGGAGUGCGGCGGCCGGCCGGCUGGAAGGGAGAGGCGGCGCUCCAUCACCACUGGUGUGCGCGUGUGAGAAGCGACGGGAAUAGAUUAGCGAACACGUUUUCUUUCAUAAUGGCAGAGGUGGGUAAUUUUUUCCCCCAAAAGAAGGUGAAAGCAUAGGGUAGAGGUGCUUUUGAUUUGUACUAUACCAAAAGCUGACUUUGGGCAAAAGUAGCUGUGGCUUUUGGGCCCUUUGGUUAGCUUUUGGCUUUUGCAAAAGCAAAAGCAGGUUGAAAAACCCAACUAAACACACCCUAACUCAUACACACCUGCGUACCAGAAUGCAAGGCUAGUCCUAAAUAGAUUAAUCAGCUUAGGCCAUCCCAUACUAGCACAUGUUGAUGUACGGUAAACAUAAUGGGUGAUAUGAUGUUCGGUCCUUAAUCGACUCAGGCGAACACUCCCCCUAUCGAUAUGCAACUACUACCAUAUGCAUACCACUUGCCGUCUAAGUCUAAAAUCACAUUUUAUCUCAUUUUAUUUCAAAAAUAAUCAGAGAAUUAACUCUGAACAUAAUGUUUAAAAAGGAGUUCCAAAUAGUAUAUCAAGUGACUCAUAACCAUGUUUCUGUUUAUCACUAAGCAAGGCUAAGCAUUUGCACUUUAUAAAAGCAUAGUAUAGUUAUAUGAGCACAAUCAAAGUACACUAAUUAAUCCUAAGGUUCAAAACAGCAAGGAAGUGAUUUUCAAAAACGGGAUUCAUGCAUCUUUUAAAGGUAGAACUACAAGUACCGAUAGUUAGAAAUACGCAUGCAAAUUUAUAAUCAAAACAUUUAGCCCGAACACAUGGGAUUCAAUGUGUUCAAAGGAAGGGCAACACUUGCCUUGGAGGAUAUAUGACCUCAUUGAAAUUAGAUAUAAUCCAUCGCCUUUACCGGUAUCGAUUUCACCUUCUAAAAGAAAUAACAGUAACAAAACAUGUAAAAAUCUAAAAUGAUCUAAAAUGCAUGAGUUUACUAGUGUGGUUAGGUACUGGUCUAAGAUGAAUUUAGGUGAAAGAAUUUAUAUUUUAUCACUUUGCAUUAGAGAGUUAUAAAUUUUCAAAUUUUAAUACUAGCUCUAGAUUAAUUAACCUCUAAUAGUCCUUAGGUGCAUUUUAGGUCUAAGUUUUUUGAAAUGUUGUCUUGCUGCCGUGAAGGGGAUGCUCACAGGAGUUCAACAAAGUUGGUUUCACAAUUUUUAAAGUUAGCAUGAUUUUAUUAUGAAUUUUACAAGCUAGGUCAUAUGCUAUAGUCUUUAUUAGUUAUUUCGAAUUUUAUAUAUGUUUUGAGUACUGUAUGUGUCAUAUUUUAUUUCAUCAAAACUAAGUUCAUGAUUUUGCCAAUCUAACAGAACUGAAAUCACCUCAUUUGGAGUUGAAAUAAAUCACCUAUGGGUUUUAUAUUUUCUAGUUUACACUAUACUAGUUAUUUUACCAAUUAAAUAGUUGGUGAUGAUUUUAAUACAGAAAGUAUCAAGUUUUAGUUCAUGUAAAUCAAGUGUAUGAUUUUUUGAGCACACUGGAAUUUGGUUCACUCCAAAUUAAGUUAAGAUGAAUUUUAUAUGAAUUUUCUAAGUUGAAGAUUGCUCUAUGUUCAUUAUUUAUUAUGUGAAUUAUUAGAGCUAUUUCUUCUACUGCAAGUGCCAAGUAUUAUGUUUCCAUAUUAAGAUUCAUAACUUGGUGAUUCUACAGAAAUUUAUUUCAUCCAGAUUGGAGCUAAAAUGAAUUUUAUAUGGAAUUUACAAGUUAACCUAUUUUUCUGUUGAUUAGGUAUUCACUAAGGCAUUUUCCUUAUAUUUUCCAGAUUUUAAACACAUAGGGCCCACUGGUCAGUGAGAUAUUUUUUGCAGAAAGGUCCCUCGAGGUUCUAGGAAUAGGUCCCGAGGUACCUAGCUCGUUUUAAUUGAAUCUUCAUUAAGACUACUCAAAGUUUUAUGUAUUUAUAAUUAGGUCUAGGUCCCACAUGUCAUGCUCUAGUUAUUUACAAAUAGAACCCCAUAUGCUUUGAUCUAUUUCUAAUCACAGUUCUUAAUGCUUAAUGAAGUGGGGACCACCUGUCAUAGGCUCGGCAGAGGAGGAAACAGCAGCAGCAGCAGAGCUUCACCGGCCGGCGGGCUUGACGUCGACGUCGGCGGCGAACGGCGGGGAUUCUGACGUCGCACCCAAAAGGAGAAAAGUGCACCAGGCUCUUGCGCAUCCGACGAUGUUCGUCUUGUCGCCGGAGAUGGCCGGGAUGGAUGCCGGAAACAGCGCGAGCGGCGGUGACCACUAGUCUGCGUUUGCAUGACAAUUUCUAGUGAGGAUUUGUGCGUUAAGGUGCAUGCAUGUGUGAUUACGAUGCUCCUGGAGACUUACGGAAGGUCGCCUGUAGGUCGGUGAUGGAUGGACGGCGAUGGCGACCUUAGAAGUACUCCGGCGGCGGCAAAGAAUGGCAGAGCGACGGCGACGACCACUCCCCAUGCUUCGGCCUGCCAAGAAGAGUAGUUGAACGGCUCAAAGAAAACCUAAGGAUGCUACACGAGCGAGGAAAUGCGCCGAAACUCACUCGGAUGCAAGGAUUCGACGACGAUAGCCGGUAGCCGGACUUGAGGAAGACGACGGCGAUCUCUUCAACGGCGGUGUCUUGGGUCGAUUGCUUCAGUAAGCAGCUUUCUGGAACCUUUGUGAUGAUGAUGGCGCAGUGGUUCGGCCAGAGACCCACCGGAUGGACGGGAACGGCAUCGCGACGUCGGGAGCGACGAUGAGCUCGACGCAGGGUGUUCGACCUGUGCAAAAUGAGAUUUCACACACAGAUGGAUCAGGUAGAGGUAGAAGAUCACGUUUCCAUGGAUGAAAUGCGCCUAAGAUCACCAGAGAAGACAAGAAAUGGAUCAAACAUCUUCGGGUUAAAGAUUGAGAAGAGUGUUCUGGGUUCCUCCGAGAAAGUUCUUGGUGUUUUUCCUAGUGGAACACGAUGAAGGAUGGAUAGAAAUCACUGUGGCGAAGUAUCACUCUAAGUGAUGGAUGUUGAGCUGGAAGGGAGGGGUUAGGUGUCAACAUUUGGCUGUAACACGAUUUUAAUGAGUUGGCAAGGGUUGAGGGCGGUGCUAUCUCGUCUACAUCUCCCAAGCUAGCCCUAGAGGCUGUCAAGUGGUCUCAUUAGUGAUUUCCUAGGUAGAUAUGAGACGUAGGGUGUGUUCUUGAGUGUGAAUUGGACUUUUAACUCUCCCUCUCUCUUUUUCUUUUGUUAAUAAAUCAAAAGAAUGUCUAACUAAGGAUGUUUGCUGGUAUGUGGAUGAUAAGUGGGUCCAUGUGGAUGCAUCCUAGGCUCAUAUGAGUGGUAAGGUAGAUAUAUGGGUGAGAGUUGUAUUUUUACCCUCCUCUCUCUCACCUUUAGAAAAAUAAAUGAUAAUAUAAAUGAGAGGUGUGUAGAUGAUGUGUUGGCUGUGAUGAGGAUGACAUAUGGGUCCCACUAUGGUUAGGUCCCACUUGUAAGAGAGAGAAAUAGAAGAAGAGGCCUAGAAGCUCUAAAUUUUCUAAGUGUUGAAACUAUACCAACAUGUGGUUUAUUUCAUUCUCCUUUCUUCCAUUUAGUUUAGAAUUUUGGGGAGACAAGGUUGCUGCUAGGUGGAUAAGGAUUCGAUGGUUCAAUGUGACAAAUUUCAAGAUUUAAUUACGCUUUGAGUUACCAUGGUAAUUUAGUAAAGAUGCCUAAGUUACAAUGUUGACUACAGUCUAAAUAUUGUUUAAGCAACUCUUGUGGCUCUCAUUUCAUGUGGUUCUAUUUCGAAUUUUAUUAAGCCUUUGCACCAGGUUGUAGAGUACACUAUAGUUAACAUUCUAACCAAGUGGUUUAGCUAGAUAAAUUAUGGUUAAAUUUUGGUGAAGGUGCAAAGUAGGCUAAAUGGUAUGCUGUUUUCAGAUUUCUAGCUGAGAUGAAGGAUUUAUUUGGGAUACCAUUUGAUGUGAUAAAUUCAAACUAAAAUUAUUGUAGACUUAGGAUGCUGUUUAGUAUUUAUGAGAAUUUUGGUGCAAUUUGUUGUUGCUUGAUUUAUUUUUAGGAAUUUUCUUUAGAUAUGACAUGCUUAUGAAACCUAUUAUGAGAUGCAACAAUUAGAACAUUCAAAAACAAACCUAAAAUAAUAAAAUGCACAUACAACCAAGUGUACUUACUUCCAUCUUAAGUUUUGCUUAUUUUAAAUCUUAUAUCUCCAUUUGUUUUCAUUUAGCUCAAAAAUAUUUUGCUUAAGUUGAAAUGCAAAGCCAAAAGAAUUAAAUUCCUAUUUAAAGUUUAAACCAUCUUAUUUGAAUUGAGAUUUGUUAACCCAAGAUUUUAUAAAAUCUAAUUUUGGAUUAGCUUUAAAUCUUGACCAACAAAUCUUUAUGUUUUAAUUUUAUUUACAGGAUUUAAACUCUAAGAUCAACUAUUAUGCUCUUAAAUGCUUUAGCUUUCAAAAGGUUUUAAAUUUUCCUCAAAAUUUUUCCUAGGUGAAAUUCCUGGUAUGUUACACAAUACCUGCAUAAAUCAUAAGUUAUUAAACAUCCAACAUAGUGGUAGGGCCUAAUUCUAACAAUUUCCGUGAGUGUUGGUGUAUAAUUAUAUCCAGGUAAUAAACCACCAAAGUUGAGAGGAAAUACAACCAAAAGUGGAGGAAAAUUCCAUCCAUAGAAAACUUGGCUCAUACACACAUUAAAAUAUUAGAAGUUGAGCCUAAUCUACAUCUCACUAGGCCAAGAGAUCAUCUGUCGAGGCCCAGGAGGAAGCCCAUGGGUCGGGAGCUGACCAGGGUCUCCCCUCGCCGUUUGCUUCCAUGUGGACAUCCAGGAUUACCUCCCAAUAACGAUUGUGGGGCAUUUUCGACAAUUCCAACUGCCAUAACCAUCAUUCGGAGGCUAUAUAAGGGCCUCUCCCUCUCCAUUUCAACACACACCAAGUUUGAGCUGAAUUACAAGAGACUCUAUUGUAUUUUUAUGUACACUAGAUUAGAGAGAGAGUAAGGAGAAAGAGUCGUAGGAAUUCCGGAGCUGUCGGUAUUUUCCUCUUUACCUUUUGUACCUCGUUAAGUACUCUGCAUUAAUAGAGAAUAUCUUUCUUGAGUAAUUAAGAUUUUCUUUGUGAGAAUUAUCUCUUAGUUAGUUCCUAUUAGCGUACUGGAUCAUUGUUUACUAUUGAUCAUUAAUAGAUAGUGAUUACUUUGGUGAGUUAUAACACUAAAGAAGUGAUAAACUACAUAGACGCGGUGUAUAGGUUUUUAAUUUCCAGUUAUUGCUACGUAUCCCACAAAAUGUUAGAGAUUGGUGUAGAGGUAGUGACAGUCCUCAAGAUCACCUCAGUCCACCCUGUUCGGGUACGGAGUAGAGCACGUUUUAGUAGUAGCGAUCAAGCCAGUGCCUAAAGUAUUGCGGUAGGAUUAAAAAGCUUUCUUUAGACUCUGUUUCUCACUACGAAAUCAUCUCUAUCAUUUGCCUAUAUAUCCCUUGUGUCCUUGGAUGAACCAGGAGAAGAGUUGAGCACAUACGUUCCCUGUGAAAAUCGAUACCUUGGAAUACUCUCGAAUGAAGUGCUACAAUGGUAUAUCAGUGCGCUUGUGGAUUUUAUCUAUGACAAUAGGAAAUACCAACAAGGGGUUUGGUUGAACCCCUGGAACUAGGCUUCGCCCUGUGAACCUGCUGGUGGCCCCCCUUACCAGUCUCGAUGGAGUCACGGAGAAAAAGAAGAUGGCAAUUGUGAAUCGACACUUCUGAAAUUUCACUCGUCCGCCAAUUCAUUUCCUUCUUCCUUCUCUCUUCCUCCAUCUUCCUGAACCCUAGCCAAAUCCCAGUCCAAUCUCCUCCACCAAAAACCAUGUCGAGGAAGGCAUUUAUCUCCCUUUCUAAUUCCAAUUCCACAUUCCAUCUUGACGGGAGAUCCACCAUCCCAAUCUGGUGUUCCCGCCGAUUGAAGAGGGUGAACCAAGGGUUUUGGAGUCCCUAGUGAUCCUGCCUCUGCUCAACCAUGACGAGGGGCUCGCAGGCGAAUAGGAGGGUUCAGCCAAACCAACCUCAGCUUUCCUCGGCCCACCGUUCGGCCACGCACUGACCUUUGCCAAGGAGGAUCCAGAGGACCCCAGCUCGAUCAUCAAGCCCCUACCAGAGGCUGAGAACGGGCUAGAUCGGCCCUAAAAAGGUGAUUCAUUUGUUCCAAGGGCCCGUUGCUGCAGCGGUCACCGAUUCAGGGAUCAGGGGAGAGCCAACGGUCCUAGUAGGGACGAGAUGUCCUACUCAAGCCUUCUGCCAAAGCUUCAGGUUCGCAUGAACAUGCCUGUGGGCCGUGUAAAGGUACUAAUCCCUGGGUUGGCACCUAGUGAGAUGCUCAAGGCAGAGGUUUCUCUUGACUCCCAACCGAUCACAUGGUGUCUUUCUCCACCUCCAAUUAAGAGGUUGGUGGGGAGUUUGAGAGCAACGGAGAAAAAUCUCCACGAGAGUCCACGAUGGCCUUUUGGCCUCUACCGUUGCUCAGCUGCGCACUGAGAACAGGAGGCUAAAGGACACCUUGCCCAAGGACAAGGUCGAGCUCGAUGAGCUUAGAGUUGACCUUGCGUCCCUCCGUCGUGGCUUUUGUGCCAAGCAUUUUCACUUGUACAAGGCCGUAGGAAAGGAAGACCUCUACUGUGCUCCUAUCCUGAUAAGGACACAAAUAGCUGGAAUAUAACCAUGACUACCUUAUGUAUUAAUCAACCAAAGGUUGCUACACAAUGAGUUUUGUGUGUUUUUGUUUGCAGAGGUACUUGCUUGGGCAAAAGAAAAGAGACUGAGUGUAAGGAAUGCAUGGAUGAUUGAAGAAGUUGAUUGGGGACCAAGCCAAGACCUUCUCCAAGUCUUGUUUCAUCUCACCAUGUCACUUUUGGUCCAUAGAAGACAAGAGAUAAAGUUCUACACGUUUUGGAUUCGGGUUCGGGCCUCCUAACAGCAUCAACUUCAAACAGAUCUAGCCACUGAUCUAGAAGGAAUUUCGGGGCCUAUUAUUACUUGUUCGAAAGCUUAUGGAGUCUACUUUCAGAUGGUUUUGGUCCCAUGUCAAAAUUCACACCGAGCUGCCGGGAAACUGCAAAACAAGCCACGUAUCUCAUCCAGUCCGAAUCUGAUUUGGGUUUUGGGCAUUGUAAUUGUGUCGUGGGCUUAGCCCAAUGGGGUGUGCGCCCUAGGGCAACCCUAGGAUGUCCCUAAUCAUAUUUAUUCAGUAGCCGUCAACGUUUAGAGUCGGUUUUUCCUUACAUUAUUCUGUUGAGAACAGUUUUGCCGCUAGAUCGGUUUGUAAGACCCCAACUUGUGAGCUUAAUCAUUCAUCCGCAAUUUUGGUUGUAUUCUAUCUUGUUCUUGUUUGUGUCCUUCGAUUGACAAACAGGGAUUAGCCUUCUCGUCGAGGUCAUCUGCGUUUCGACACGGGUGAUAACCAGAGGAGACGUGGUGCUGCGAUUGCGGGGCUCAAGAGCGUGCGCGUUCAAGAAGCUGGAUCGAUUUGUGUCGUGACUCCGCCCAAAUCGUUGUUUAUCAGAACCUUUCAGAAGAUCAGGAACCCUAGUGCAUAUCAUAUCCCAUAGACAUUCCCUAGUUGUUGUUGAUAUUUCUUAACAGCAUUACUAAGGAGCUUAAUUCAUAGCAAUGAUGCUAGAAAUAUGGGCGGUAAUUCUUUACGUUUACAAAGAUGAAUCCACAAGCGCACGGAUUUACUGAUGUAGUAUUUCACCCGGGAGUAUACCCAAGGCAUCGUAUUUUUAAUCCCAAGGGAAGAGAUUAUAAGAGAGAACUUUAUUAUUUCAUUUCAUGCCUACGACAGAUCAAAGACUUUGUAGGGGUUAAUGAUAUACAUGCAAAAAGGGUAGGUUGACACAUGAAUCAUCAAGAAAAACUAUUCUGAUACUAAAAGAAAUAGCUUAGUAUAGUGGAAAGAAACUAGCAAAGAAUCCUAUCUGUACUUCAUUAAAAAGUUGUCUAGUAUACAUUUAAUAUGCACUAAUCGUACAACCAAUACCCUUAACUACGCCCUCCUGUUAUGUCGAGAGACCACCCUUGGUUGCUGAGUUCCUUAUGACAACUCGUCAUGGCCAUCCAACUGGUAAUGAAUACAGAGGAGUACCUACACCAGGAAAUUGUCUUAGUACUAUAUACGCAUGUGGAGGAAUACCCAUACCGAGCUAUCACCAUCAGCGGCCUACCUCUACUGUCCCAUGGCAUAUAAUAGCAUUUAAUGGUAUCCAAUAAUCUAAGCAUCACGCUUACAUUACUAAAUACUACUCCAUCCAUGCAUACGACAUAGAGCAACCGAAUGGUCGGACAUUAAACUAAUACCAAUGCGUAUCUCUGGUAAGCUACCCAUAUGAUUAAUACAUAUUAAAUUUAUACCAAAGCAAGUAAUUAAGCUAUAUAAAUAUAGCAUAAUACUAUAACUAUAAAAAGAAGAAUAUAUUAUUAUAUAAUAAGGUCUUAUGAAGGAAGAGUAAACUAUUUCAACUCCACUCUAACUAAAGCUAGAAUAUAAACUAAGAGAGAGCUUCUUGGAUUUGAUGCUUCAAGGUGUGUGUUGGAGAGAGUGAGGCCUGCUCCUUUUAUAGCCUUCCAAUGACGGCGAUUCCUCCGAAAAGACUUGGAGAACUUCGGAACCCUACUAUUUCAACUCCACUCUAACUAAAGCUAGAAUAUAAACUAAGAGAGAGCUUCUUGGACUUGAUGCUUCAAGGUGUGUGUUGGAGAGAGUGAGGCCUGCUCCUUUUAUAGCCUUCCAAUGAUGGUUUCGGCAAUUGGAAAUGUCAUAAACAUCCUCCAACCGUCAUUGGGAAAUCAUCUGAAGCGUCCACGUGGAAAGGGAGCAUCAACGGCCACGCUGGGGGUUCGACAGAACCCUGGCCUGGCCCAAACGGCCUACAUUUUCUCUGGUGCAUCUCUUAAUGGAUCCUUAGUCCAGUGAUAUGGUGGUUGGGCCUAUUUGAAGUUAUUUUAAUAGAUUUGUAAGCCCAUCCAUCCAUAAGUCUGCCACUCGACGGAUUUCGAUUGAUUGUUCGGUUAUUCUCCUUCAUUUAUGAGUGCUUCUCCUACAUAUAUGUUAUUAGUAGCAUAGCAUAUAAUGGAAGUAGAUAUUUUAUUUGGAAAUUAUGCAUUGCAAGCAUAGGUAGUAUUCAUUAAUUGGGUAAUAUUGACGGUCAAAAUUGGUCGAUGACCACUGUCAACAGUUAUCCUUAGUAUUAUGAUAGAUAAGUUAGGUUUAAUUUAUUCUUUCAUUUAUUUAUUUCGAUUCUUUCAUGUAAUUGUGGCCAUUAAUAAAGUUGAAAUAGAAUAAAUUUGCUGGGCUUCACCGGAUGAGUACCUUUGCUUUCAUUUUUUGUUGUCUUUUCUGUCUAUGAAGCACCCCACGUACAACAACAAGUGUGGGGUUGACCUUGUGCUCACAUAAUGCAUUCACGUACCAAGAUCAUCCACGUCCGUGCUAAUCCACGACUCAUGCACGUUCGCGAGAUGAGACGUAGCAACCUUGCAUACAUGGCUGCUUAUCAUCACACUCACAUUUGAGCGAUGGUUUGCACGUCAUCCCUUUAUCUCCCUAAUUCAGUUGGAUUAAUUUUGCCAUAUUUGGAAUUAACUCAAGAAUGAAAAUGAGUAUUGACAUAAUCAACUGGAAUAUAUGACUUGCUGCAAAAUGACCUACCUACUUUUUAAUCUUUGAUCAUCCCUUGUUACUUGUGAACCACAUUCAUGGGACCACAUGUCACCUAAGUGAUUGAUGAAUGAGAGAUUGCCUGAUAAUAAGAACCUCACUCUUACUGUUGGAAACUUGGGAGUUUUAUAACAAGAACAAAAAUAACUUUACAUACUUAUUGAUGUUUUCCUUCCUACCAACAUCAUAUGUCAGAUCACAUUGAUAAACCUUAUACAUAUACCACUUGCCAUCAUUUUGAGUUUUGUUAGAUUCCUUUCAUAUUUUCACGACCAAAGUCCUGUGUACUUAUCCACCAAAAUAUAUUGCUCUCCCUCUAUACUGGAGGACUUGCAACAUAUGCCAUCCACCUACCAGAUGCUAAACUUCUACACCGGAAGUCGGCAUCCACCAUAUCUAUCCACCAAAUAAAGACUUCACAUGACUAUGUUUCUCCAUCCUCCUAUCCAUGCUAAAUGAGACAUGAGCUAAAAAAAUGAUCAGUUUUUAGAAAAUCAAAAUGCUCAAAAGAGAAUUGGCCAAUAUUCUCGAGCAUGAUGAAAAAAAGAGGAUAUAGAAAAUAGCCAUGUUCUCCAAAUAAAGUAUACACAGGAGAAUCAUAUAAAAUGAGUCAUAAUUCCAUUUCACAUCAUCCAUCUCCCUAUUCCAUUCCAUCCACAUAUAAGUGCAUAACUUUGGUCAUGUUCAUAUGAUUGGUUAUCUUCUUGGAUCCUCAAUUUGACUUUAUAAUAUAUCUAAUGCAAGUCUGUCAUUUCUUACUCCCUACCCUUAGCUCCACAGAAGCCUUUAGAAGGUAGGAUAAGAAAAGGCAAUGUGAAUUCCUUGGUUAGGAAUAAAAACUUUGAGUGAUUUGAGAGAAUCAAUUGGGGAGUAUAGUACAAGUUAUGUUUUUAUGAACUUCAAAGAAAACUACAAUGUAAUUUAUCGGAAGGAGUAAAGGCCAUUCCAUUCUUCAAUCAGCCAAGAUGACAUAGUAGACACAUCAUGUUCACAAGUACAGCUUGGAAUAACCUAUAUGUUGUGUCAUUAAGCAGAAGUCAUUACCACAUUGAUCCAUGAGCUUUACUCAGGGACGAUUAAAGCAUAAGCGUGGGGGUGUUGUUGACAGUCGUUAAGUAUAAACUUUAACCGUCAACUCAUACAUAAAAGAUAUCAAAUAUAACAUCAAAAUUUAGUGGUAGGGUUUCACUACUAACCUUUUCAACUAGUCUUGGUAAAAAUAUUUAUGCAGGUAAUUUUGAGAGAAAAUAAACCUGCCAUGCGACAAAAUGAACCUCUGGCCAAUCACACGCGAGUAAAAGGAUUGGAGGGCCCACGUGACAAUGGAAACAAACCUAAAGUGGGGCCAAACGAACCUCUACCACCAUAGGGGCCCACAUGUUAGUCCGAAAGACGGUCGAGAGAGGCAGUGCCAAGGGUUCGGUCGAACCUCAAACGGUGCCCCUCAUCUCCACCCUCCACGUGUGGCUUUCUAGUUGGCUCCCAAUGACGGUUGCGGGAGUUACCGACCUCCCCAACCAUCAUAACUCCCUAUAAAAGGAGCGGUUCACUCACUUCCAAAGCACACCAACAUCAACAGAGUACAACUCACUUUCGUAAUUUAGACUUCACUUUAGUACGUGGGAUUAGUGACAUUGAGGGGAAGCUCUGAAUGGAGUGCCCAAAAGUAUUGGAGUUCUCUCCGAGAAUUUCUGGAGGAGUGCCCACUACUGCACAAUACACCAUAGGUACCAGCUAGAGACCCAUUAUAGGUGACGGUUUCCCAACUGAUACCAACUUGAGAGUACCUGUGCCCGUUGGCAUAGGUGCCGGUUCUAGAACCAGUACUUAUGAAGAUUAUAGGUACCAGUUCUACAUACACAACUGACACUUAUAAUAUUUAAAAAAAUCAAUGGCUGCCACGAUGGAUACAUCGCAGGAACACAUCAUCGAUGGCAACGGAGGAGUGCGACACCAUGCAGUGCAAUGCGAAGGAGCUAGCGGCACAACGGAGACAACUACCCUGUUCAACAGGAACACAUGCAGUUCAGAAAAAAAAAUCAAUCUCCAACAGAAAAAUGCCGUUGAUCUGUUCAUCCAAAAAUUUUAGAAGAAGAGCAAAAUCUCCAACACAUGCAGUUAAAAAAAAUCAAUAUCCAGCGGGUCAAAAAAUUAAGCAUGAGCCCAUAGCAGCAUUGGUCAAAGUGUCUAGAGGACAUAUGUCAGUCAAGAAUGUGAUCUCAUAAUUGAAAAGGUUAAUUCUAGGUAAAUGGAAAUGGGAGGUAGAAGAUUAUGGUGAUAACUCUUUUCGCACUAUUUUUUCUUCUACUGCUGAAUUAAAACGCAUGGUAGAAUUGGGUAUAGUGCAUACUAAGGUGGGAGAGACUAAAAUGUAGAUUGUGGAAAGAGGGGUUGAGAAUGAGGUUAAGUAUGUUAUUCCAAAAGUGCCUCUACUUCACGGGCCUCAUCUCCACCGUUAACUACUUGUGCAUCGCUUGCACUGAUUUGUUCGCCGCCGCCGACUGGUGAUCUCACCUCUAUACGGACCACAUCAUUCUUCUCCAACGAGCAACUAUGACUGCAACAGAAGGACAAGCAAAAUGCUCUAAGCUUACCAGCUCAAGCACGUGGAUCAUACCUUCAAUCUGGACUUGUUUUGGAUAAACGCAAGUAAUCAAUCGAGAAGCCUUCGCAUCGAAGAUUGAAGCACUCAGUAGUCAGUAUAGGUUAUGAAUCACGGAGAAGACUGCAACUCGAUUAUCAAGGUCUCAGGGGCUACUGUGGAGGAGAAGACUGCAACUCGAUUAUCAAGGUCUCAGGGGCUACUGUGGAGAAUAUGGAUACUAGGUACUCAUACAACCUCCAUAUUCGAUUAGAGAUAGGUGAUAGGCCAGAUCCAUGUAUUAUAUAGAGUAGGACUCGGUUGCAAUGUUACCAUGUGUUCUAUGGCAGGACCUAGAGUACCGAGUGAGGAUUAUCAUAUAAUAGAUUAGCAAACUAAUACCAAAUCCGAUUAGGUUUUUCGAUUCUCUUUGUAACCCUAUCCCCUACCUAUAUAAGGUGGAUAGGGAGCCCUCCAAGAACAUAUAGCGAGAUAAGCACUAUCAAAUCGUUAGAUCAAUAUACAACCGAUGGAUACUAUCGGACUUCCUCAAUCAUGAGUAAGGUAUUACCUCUCAUCGAAAGUGUUUGGAUCUGAUUAAAUUAUUGUCUUUACAUCCAUUUAAUUUUAGGUCUGCCGAUUUCCAAAAUCUAUAAUAAUAAUUGUGACUGCUGCACUAUACGGAGGCUACUGAGAUGGGAAAGUGUUAGUCACAUUGCCUGCCUAUGUCGAAUAGGAUAGUCAUAUUUAUACAUUUUUUUGCCAUUCAAGAAUCAUUUGAUUUUUCUUACUAAUCCAUUGUCAUCAGAUGUUGAACGGGGGCAUAGCCUCAACUUGCAAUUUUUUGAAAAGAAAAAAGAAACAGCAAGCUUUACUGGAAGUGAAGUGCAAACCUUUGGAAAAAAAAAAGCUGCAACUUUCCUGUUUUAAAUUGUGAUAUAUUUUGCUAUCGCCGCCUACUGUAUGAAUCUAAGGGAGUGGCGUUCUGUCGACCGUCUGCGAGCGAAUGGCCACGGCUGUGAUGGACAGCGAGUUCGGCAGCCUCGUCAAGGUGUCUGCGGCGGUGUGGGCGGCAAUGUUCUACGCCCGCCUCGCCGCCGCAAGCCUUCGCCCCGGCGCUCCCCGCCUCGCCGCGCUCCUUCCCGUAGUCGCGCUCUUCUGCGUGGUCCCCUUCUCCUUCUCCACCACCACUUUCCGCGGCUGCUCUGCCUUCUUCCUCAGCUGGCUCGGCGUCUUCAAGCUGCUCCUACUCGCCGCGGGCCGAGGGCCCCUCAACCCCACGCAUCCCCUCCACCACUUCGUCUUCUCGGCCUCCCUCCCCGUCAAGCUCCGGCACCUCGCAUCCGCCAAGCCGGCCAAAGGUGUAGAUCCAGCUCCGGCCAACGAGAGCGCGGCGGGCAAGAUCCUCGUCUCCGGCGCCGUCAUCCCCCUCAUCAUCUACACGUACCAGUUCAAGAACGCCAUGAGCCGGUACCAGCUCCUCAUCCUCUACACCGGGCACAUCUACUUCUCCCUGCAGCUCCUCCUGGCCGUCGUCCACGGGCUGAUCCAUGGCGUGCUCGGGAUGGAGAUGGAGCCGCAGGUGGACCGGCCGUACCUGGCGUCGUCGCUGCGGGACUUCUGGGGCAGGCGGUGGAACCUCAUGGUGCCGGCCAUCCUCCGGCCUUCGGUGUACCGCCCGGUGAGGGCGCGUCUCGGCGACGCGGCUGGCGUCCUCGCGGCGUUCCUCGUCUCCGGGCUCAUGCACGAGGCGAUGUUCUUCUACAUCAUGUGGCGUCCCCCGAGCGGCGAGGUGACCGUGUUCUUCCUCCUGCACGGCGUGUGCACGGCCGCGGAAGCGUGGUGGGCGCGGCACGCGGGGUGGUGGCGCCCGCCGCGCGCGGCCGCCGUGCCGCUGACUCUGGCGUUCGUGGCCGGGACGGGGUUCUGGCUCUUCUUCCCGGCCAUGAUCAAGGCUGGCCUGGACGAGAUGGUGCUGCACGAGUGCCAGGGCAUGGUGGCCGUCAUGGAGCAGUCCGGCCGGUGGCUCGCCGGCGCCACCAAUCUCACCUUCGCGACACGCUGACCAGAGGAAAUGAAAGAAUGGGACGUGAGCCACACCAUUACUACGAUCUGACGAAACCUGUUGCAUCGCGACGAUUCUGACAGGAUGCUGCCGUUUGUGAUUUUUUCCGAUUUGGGAAAUUAAAUACUCGAGCCGUUCACAUGGCCAGCUUGGACAGCACUGGGUGUUUGCAUCGUCUGGGGGUCUGGGCUGUGAUGCCAGCUAGAAUUAUGCUAGAUCGAUCGUGUUAACAGGGGUUAAAGAAGCAUUGAUUCGGUUGGAAAAUAUCUUUACCAUUUUUUAUUGUACGUUUUCAGCUUUGCUAUUUAUCAAUCCAUUUGAUUUUUUUUCUUAUUAUCAGCCACCUACACUAUUAGCCCUAGUUUUGAACAACAAAAACCUACUAUGUUUUCUUGUAUCAAUCCCUGAAUUAAAAGUUGGUAUACACAUUUAUAGCUAGUAGAAAAUUUCAAAAUGAAUUUAGGCUAAAAUAGUUUAAUAUCUUUACAAGGACCAAUAGGGUCUUAUCCUAUCAGAUAAGUAGUAGCGGAAACCAAAAUAGUAAUAGGCCCAAGCGACAUGCCCACAGGCAGUUCAUUAGGGGCAGGACCUAUUUCUCGAUGAGCCCUCUGAUCAUCUGCUGAGUAUGGCAUAUUGUUGGCAGAGUCUCCCUCUUCUACUACUGUUAUGUUUAAAAAGGGAGAAAAUAGCUAUGUGAGUACAUAGAGUACUUGCAAGCUACCACUGCAACAUGAUUAAUGCACAUUGGAUUUAAGAAAGGGCUUGAUUCUUUUGCUCAAAACCAGCUUUCAUAAAUAUUUUAACAAACAUUUGACCUAGCCAUUCUAACAAGAAAACAACGGUAAGUUUUCUUGUUUAACCAUUCACUGAGGGUUGCGUCCACAUUCCUAAGUCUUACUUGAUUCGGUUUAUCCCCAGGCACAUUUAUCUAUAUUUCUGCCAUUGGACCCUACACUAACCCUGGCUAGUCCCACCAUUCAUCCAUUCCCAUUCACGCCCUAAGUCAAUAAAAAGUAUAUAAGUCUAGUUAAGAACAGUACAAAUGACGGCGCAAAUGGCUAAGGUACCGCAAUCUUAUGGUGGCCAUAAUCCUCUAGGUCUAUGCCCAUAUGCCCAUAUAGGAAGAUACGCUCGUACUUAGAUCGUUUCCUUCCUAUUUUUCUAACUCAGUCCUUAACUAACCAGGGUCAGCACUAGCCUUUGCUGGAAUCCAAACAAAUCUUCUUGUUGUGAUUAAGUUUUGUUUUUCCAUAAACAACUUCACAUGUGUCUCACAAGAUAGUCGCUACCAUAGCGAUCUUCCCAAAUCACAUUAUCACAUGGCUAGGCAUGUGUCAAUAAUUUGACUACGGGCUUUAAUAUAUCCAUGGUUAUCAAGGUAAAGGUAAGCAAUACCAAGAUAGGGUUAAUCAAUAAUUAGGUACGCAAUUUAAAUAUACUUCCUCCGUUUUACAAUGUAAGACUUUCUAGCAUUGUUCACAUACAUAUAGAUGUUAAUGAAUCUAAACACAUACAUAUGUCUAGAUUCAUUAACAUCUAAAUAAAUGUGGGCAAUGCUAGAAAGUCUUACAUUGUAAAACGGAGGAAGUAGCAUGCAGUUUAUUUGAAAACAAAAUAUUUCGCAACAUAGGUACAACAUGUAUCAAUCCUGAUUAUUUUCUAUAGAUGUUCACUUUUCUGUAGAUUAACCAUCAAAGUUUGUGUUCUAAGUGAAUGUACUUUAUUUUCCUUAGCUUAUAUCUAGUGGCCAAAUCUCAGGUUGAUUGUUUGUUGCUUUCAUAAUUAACAAUUCAAUGUUUUAUCCUUUUGAAUGAUAUUUUCCAUGCUUAUGGAAGGCUUAAUGAACUGAAGUUUGUGUUGGCAGUGAUCUCCAUCAGAUGUCCUGUCUCUUCAGCAGGUCGUCCACGAUGCAAUCAGCACAUGAGGCAACAGUUCCCUCCAACCCACCUGCUGAAGGCUUGGUUUGCCUAAUUUGAUUGCUACAUGCGAAUGAGGAUUACGCCGUGUAGAUUGAGGUGCAGGUAAGCUCCAUUUCUUGCUGUCAAUUUUUUCAUGCCAUUUUUGUGAAUGCUGGCGAUGGGGGAUUUUUGUUCAUGGAGCAACAAUGUUUUUAUUUUCCUUUUGUCAGGCCAUAUGGAGAUGCAGUCGUUUUCAUUUACAGCAAUCCUCAAAUCCAGGUUAAUAUUAUGUGGAUUUUAUCUCUUUUGUAUACAUUAAAUAUGGCAUCUACAGAACCAGGAUUUUACCUCUUUUUUUCUUGCUUCUGUUAAUGAAGAUAAGAAAUAUAUCCCAUGUAAUCAAUUGGGGAUCAAUGAGGUUUAGUUUGUUGUACUGCUAAUGAAUGCCAUGUUUAAUUUUUGAAACGUUACUUGUUUUGUUAGUACACAUGCAUGGGGAUGUGAAAAGAUGACUAUAAUUGAAAUGUAUGUGCUACGAACAACUCUCCAUCAUCACCAUACGUGAUCACUGCGAAUAAUAUCUUUUGAUAAAUUGAUCUAUGAAGUUUGGUCGGUUCCAAACAUAUAUAUUAUCACACCAUUGAUUUAAGUUGAUCUAUGAAGAACAUUUCUUUCUUGAUUUAUUUAUGCUUCCUUUCACAAAUUUUUGACCAACAUGAUAUGAUUAGGGAGGUGAUAAAUGCUGACCAACUGAAAAAAUGUCACUGUAUUCUGCAUUUUGGCUCAGCUUCAUCGUUGUCACUGCAGCUCAUUUUUCAGUAGAUAGAACAUAUUGUCACUACAAACUAAUGAUGCCGUUAGCGAUCAUCCAGUUUUGCAAUUCAAUGGUGUUGUUAGUAGUAAUCCAUUCAAAGCAUAAUGAAAGAAAAAAAAAUGACCAUUUGCAUAAACACUAACAAACAGUUGCGUGACCAUGACAAUCUGUAACUUGUAUUUUAUAAACAAAUUCACUCUUCCGUAGCUUGUUUCAUGAGUAUUUUUGCUUUAAGCCAUUUUUCUUAGAGCUUUAUCCCUAUCACUACUAUCUAAUGCUUCUAAUCAUCCAAUCGUAAACUGGACCAACAAAGCAAUGAUCUGUUUGCACCACCGCUAACAAAUAGUAGCAUCAUUUUGGAUAAAUGAAAACAUACCUGAAUUCCCUCUGCUUAUAAAAAAGAGAUAGCGUGGCUUGGUGCCAACGUGCAAGAGCACACAUUUAGCACGCAAGGAUGGCAACGGGAUCGUAAACAAUCCUCGGCGAUAUAUAUAUGUUUCUUUUUUUUGUUACUGGAAAGUAUUUGUUGUAUUUGUCACACUCACACCCUUUAAUUUGAUUUUCCAACCGAAUCUAUUUAUGAACUGUACAGAUGAAGAAUGUAGCAAAACAAUUGGAAGGAUUGUGUUGGUAUGCAUUUCCCGUGAUCCACUGCACCGGCACCAGCGACACGUGAGAUCCUCACUGCUACCCCAACUUGGAAGAUUUGUGUUUUGCUUCCCAGGGUUAUGCCUCACCAGCACUGGCACCUGCACUAGCAUCAGGUGAGAUGCUCACAGCCAUUGCGCCUGCACCAGCGCUGGUGUCCAUGCAUGGAUUUUCCUUGUUUGCUGUACUUGUGUCUCCAUUGCUUGAUGUGGCGCUUGCAGACGAGUAAUCCCUCCAUCCCUAACUAUUUGACACCGUUAAUUUUUUUAAAUAUAUUUGACCGUUCGUCUUAUUCAGAAACUUUUGUGAAAUAUGUAGAAUUAUAUGUAUGCAUAAAAGUAUAUUUAACAAUGAAUCAAAUGAUAGGAAAAUAAUUAAUAAUUACAUUAUUUUUUUAAUAAGAUGAACAGUCAAACAUGUUUUAAAAAGUCAAUAGCGUCAAAUAUUUAGGGAUGGAGGGAGUACAAUCCAUGCCCACCAUGUGUUUGUAGAAAUGCCAAUCAAAUAAAAUGCAUUUUAUUCUCCAAAUUCCUAAGCUCUCUUUUCUCACACACUCACUCCAUGACAGGUUUCUUAAGACAUACUAAUUCUCUUGGUAUGCAUUUCAUGUGUUGGAUCAGACUUGGUGGCAUGAAACCACAAUUCGAAGGCAUCAUUAAAAAAACUGAGUUUAUGAUUUGCGGUACCGCCACCCGUUGAACUUGGACUGAUCUUAUCUCUGUCACAUAUGUGCACCAAACGAAUUCAGUUUAUGAUCAUCCUAAUGACAGUAGUUGGAGAAAAGAGUAUGGACAUGUAAAAUUUGCCCCUUUGCAUUGAGCUAUAUAUUUUCGCACAAAAUUUUUUACACUUCUGCUUCACCUUGCUAUGACCUGUAGGUUGUCAGCCAACUAUGCAAGUUGGCGGUGCCACACUACUGCAAUGGACACGCGCCAUCUACACCAUUAACUUAUUUUCCUGUCGUUCUCCAUUUGCCCUGCGGCAAGGUACUUUAUUUAUCGGUUAUAGUUGUCAAUUGUAAAUUUACUUGCAUAUGUUGUAUAUGAAGAGGUAUGCUUGCCGACAUUACUAACUUAAGUUUCUGGAGGAAGUUAGAAGACAACGUGAUAGGGAGAGGUAUGCUUCCCUCACUGUAUUUAUUCAUAUCGUGCCUAGAGUUCAGUUCACAGGAGGUAUAAAUAAUGGAAAAAGAAGGUUGACCGAUCUGAUUGAAGUUGAUGCUUGAUUCUAAAUGGGAUAUGUUUACUGUGCUCUCCAGUUCCUCACAAUUUUUAAGCAGCAAUAUGAUAGUAUGCUGUCAUUUCUAUUUAAGUAAAAAAAAUUGAUUACUACCUCGAACCACUUGCUUUCUAGCCUUAAUAUGGACCAUUAUAUCUGCAGUAUAUAUUAGUGUUAGUUUGACACCUCAAUCAUAUUAUGGCCUAUGGAACCUGAUUUUUGGACUUAUUGUGAAUGUCUCUUGUGGAGAUGACAUAUUUCACAAUCUGUAAUAGGUACAGAUAUGUACUGCAAAACUUCCAUAAAAGCAUCUUCCCAAAUCCCAACAUAUCUUUUUCUCUGCAGAACAAUUUAGGGCCUGUUUUGAUCCCCUAGCAAAAUUUUUCACCCUGUAACAUCAAAUGUUUGGAAACAUGCAUGGAGUAUUAAAUAUAGGCAAAGAAAAUAAUUACACAAAUCACGUGUAAAUUGCGAGACAAAUCGUUUAGACCAUGGAACUUUAAUUUUAGUUGUUACCUGAAAACUUAAUUGGUAGUGUUUACAUCAUUACAGAAAUUUGGGUUCAAAAAUCUUUUGUGAAUUAUUGUUUCUUUCCAAUGUUACAGUAAGAAUAAUUAUUCCAUUUGAUAUAUGUCGACGUGGCUUGCACCUACACACUAAAUAGUUUAUGUACUUAUUUUAAUUAUUUUCCUCAAGGAAAAGUAGUAAGCCACUGACAGCUGUGGUCGGGGUCAACUAUUGACAGCCACGGUGGCCAGCGGGCCCACACAUCAGCGACACAAAUCCUAAACAUGGUUUAUUUGCUAUUCUUAAUUACUUAGGACCCACAUGUCAGUGUAAUAGUCUUAAUGAAUUGAUUAACUUAAUUACCUUCAUUAGUCGCUAAUCAAGGAGGACCACAUGCCAUACAAAGGAGAGGGAUAGGGAUUUAUGUCACGACACCUGACAUGCCUGGAGAUACAUAACAGGAGGUCGAGCCGAACAUGCAUAUGAAUGCUAAUCCAUCGAUGCUGCGCAAGUCUACUCGGGAGAGUAGGCCUAAUAGUAGGUAUUAUUCAAGUGAAUGGACCCAGUCGAAAUGGGUUGGGCCAUGUGUGAGGGAGUGAGGUCCAUGGCGCGAUGCUAUAAGAGACCGAUAGGGAGUUGAGACAGAAUCGAACAUUGUAGAAACAUAUUCUGAAUACUGAAUUCAAAUCUCUCCCUGUUCUAUGUUGUUCUUCCCCAAAUCCCAAAUUCCUUGCUACUUCUACCCUCAAUUCUGUUCAAUUCUUCCUUGUUGCGACAUUGCAAAUCCAGUGUCGUGACAAAUUGGUAUCAGAGCAGUCAAUCCUGGAGAAGCCGCGCUACACUUCACGGUUGCAAUUGCAAGUAGUAGCAAUGGAGAAACAGAAUAUUGACUUCGGCAAAAUUCUCGGAGAAAUUCAGGAAUCGCUGGUGUCUCUCAAUAGUCAAUACCAAGCAAUCGGAGACUCAAGCGGCUGUAUCGAAGUUGGAUGUAGGGUGAAUGGGUGGCGACCUCAAGUGGAAUCCACAAUCUAGGAUUUGCAUGAAGAGGUUGGAGAUCUUCGUCAGCAACUCGACCUCAUCGGCAAAUCCAAGCAGGCUGCUUCGAGCGCGUCUUCCCCUUGUGUCUCAUUGGCGGGUGAGGAAAGGAAGGAGGCUGCUCCGAGCACGUCUUUCCCUCGGGUCCCGUUGACGGGCGAGGAAAGGAAGGCGCCAUUGCUGCCGAUGCCGCCACUGACAACUCAUUUGGCCGCGGCGGAGGGUGGGAGCAAAUGGGCAAUCGGCCACCACGUUCAACCUAAUUUCCGGGGAAAGACACCGGGGGCCUUAGCGACCCUGGGUCAAACCCCGGGCAAGGGUACGUAUGACUCGAAUCACUUUCAGUUCCAGAAGUUUGAGCAUUCGGGGUUUGAUGGUGGGGAAUUUGAUUCUGAUUUUGGGGAGCGACAAUACAAUUAUAGAGUGCCGAAAUUGGAUUUUCCUAAGUUUGAUGGUUCUAACCCUCAGGAUUGGCGAAUGAAAUGCGAGCACUAUUUUGAUGUGAAUAAUACCUUUCCGGGGCUAUGGGUGAGGAUUUCGAUCAUUUAUUUCAUGGGUAGAGCAGCAUCAUGGCUAAGAUCUUCUAGGGCGCAUUUGAGAUUUCCAAUGUGGGAAGAUUUUUGCACUGCAGUUUCUGAAAAAUUCGAUAGAGACCAGCAUGAGGCUUUGAUUAGGCAAAUGGAUAGUAUAAAACAAACUGGAAUGGUGUGGGAGUUUUAUGAGCAAUUCGAUGAAUUGAUGAAUCAGCUUUUAGUCUAUGACCCCUCUGCUAGCUCAAAGUACUGACACACUGUUUUACUGAAGGGUUACGUCGAGAGAUUCGUAAUGCUGUUCUUUUACAACGUCCAAAGAAUCUCGAGACUGCUUUGGCUGUUGCUUUGUUACAGGAAGAGGUGCUGGAGAAUCCUCAAAACUCUAGCAUCAAGGACAUAAAGAAGUCUGAAGGAAAUUCAGCUUAUAAGUCUGCUGUGAAGGGGGCAUGGCCAUUACCACUACCACCAGGAAAAGGAGGAGUUCCAAUUGUUGGCCGUUCUGAAGACAAGAGGAGCACUAACAGUGUUCGUAAUCCGAGAACAAUGUCUGAUAAGGUGGCAGCAUUGAAAACUUACAGGCGGGCUCAAGGGUUAUGCUAUGUUUGUGCUGAGAAGUGGUCUCCAAGUCGUAAGUGUGCUCCAUCAGUGCAAUUGAAUGUUGUGCAACAAUUGUUCAGUCUAAUCUUGGAAGAGAACUUGCAGGAAGGACCGGAAAAUUCAGAUCAAUUGAAUUCUGAAACUGGGGAACUAAUGGCAAUUUCUCUGCAAGCAGUGUAGGGAUCUGAACCUGAUGGGACUAUGAGAAUUUUGGGGCAUGUUCAAGGUAAAGAAUUGCUGAUUUUAGUGGACUCAGGGAGUUCGGUCAGUUUUGUCAGUACGCAGUUAGCUUCUGGAUUGACAGGAUUGCAACCAUUGGCACACCAGUUAAUUGUCAGGGUUGCUAAUGGGAGCAAGCUGAAAUGUGAAGCAGUAAUUCCUAACUGUGAGUGGCAUGUACAAGGACAUGUAUUCCACACAACCUUGAGAGUGUUGCCUCUUCCUAAUUAUGACAUGAUACUAGGUAUGGACUGGUUGAAGGAACAUAGUCCAAUGUCAAUUGAUUGGUUUAAGAAGAUUAUUGCUCUCAGCUUACAAGGAACUCAAGUGACAAUACAAGGGUGUAGUCCGAACUGGCUAAGUGUAAUAUGAUUUCUGCAAAUGAAAUGAAGCAAUUCCAUUAGAGGAGAGCAAUGGCUCAUAUUGUUCAGUUGUGUUCCAUAAAUGAUCAAAAUGUAUCUGACGAAGUUCCAAUACCUGUUCAGGAUCUGAUGAAGGAAUUUUCUGACAUCUUUGUGGAGCCAAAAGGUUUGCCACCUCAACGACAAUUUGAUCACACCAUACCAUUGCUGCCAAGAGCACAACCAGUGAAUGUGCGACCUAUAUGUAUACACCAGCACAGAAGGAUGAAAUUGAAGCUCAAGUAACUGAAAUGUUGCAAAAUGGCAUCAUCCAGCAUAGCACCAGUCCGUUUGCUUCUCCGGUGUUGUUGGUUAAGAAAAAGGACAGGUCAUGGUGCUUUUGCGUGGAUUAUCGACACCUGAAUGCGAUAACGGUGAAGAACAAAUACCCUUUGCCAAUCAUCGAUGAAUUGUUGGACGAAUUGGCGGGUGCUCAGUGGUUUACAAAGUUGGACUUGCGUGCUGGGUAUCACCAAAUCCGUAUGAAGGUUGAGGACGAGCAUAAGACAACUUUCCGCACUCAUAAUGGUCACUAUGAAUUUCGUGUUCUUCCUUUUGGAUUAACUAGCGCACUAGCUACCUUUCAAGGAGUGAUGAACAACAUACUGUGCUCUCUCCUACGCCGUUGUGUGCUAGUGCAUUGGGGCCCAAACAUUUGGGUUUGUCCACAUACAAGAAAGAGAGCUUGGCAAUAAUGUUGGCAGUGGACAAUUGGCGACCCUAUUUACAACAUGCUGAAUUUUCUAUUCGGACUGAUCGCCAUAGUCUGGCAUUUCUAGAUGAUCAACGCCUUACCACACCUUGGCAGCAUAAGGCUCUUACUAAACUUCUUGGCUUCCAGUACAAGAUUGUUUAUAAGAAGGGAAUCGACAAUGGCGCAGCGGAUGCUUUAUCUAGAUAUCCUGAAUCUGAGGUCUUAUCAACUCUGUCAGUUUGUGUUCUUAUCGCGGUUACUUGAAUUGUUAUCUGCUAACUCUAAAGGUUCUUCUCCCCGUCAAGUUUUGAACUGGCGAUGGGUGCGCAAAGGGGCGAAGUAGGUGGAACAGGUGCAAGUCUGCUGGUCCAGCCACGAUUCGUCGGUUGUUACAUGGGAGAAUCUUCAUGAACUCCAGCAACGUUUUCCCAAUGCUGAAGCUUGGGGACAUGCUUCAUUUCAAGGGGGAGGGAAUGUCACGACACCUGACAUGCCUGGAGGUACAGAACAGGAAGUCGAGCCAAAGAUGCAUAUGAAUGCUAAUCCACCGAUGCUGCGCAAGUCUACUCAGGAGAGUAGGCCUAAUAGUAGGUAUUAUUCAAGUGAAUGGACCCAGUACAAAUGGGCUGGGCCAUGUGUGAGGGAGUGAGGUCCAUGGCACGAUGCUAUAAGAGACCGACAGGGAGUUGAGACAGAAUCGAACACUGUAGAAACAUAUUCUGAAUACCGAAUUCAAAUCUCUCCCUGUUCUAUGCUGUUCUUCCCCAAAUCCCAAAUUCCUUGCUACUUCUACCCUCAAUUCUGUUCAAUUCUUCCUUGUUGAAACAUUUUAAAUCUAGCGCCGUGACAAUUUAUCCCCGUUCUUCCUUGUCACAGUUCUCUGCUUGGGCAAGGCAGAGACGCAAAGUGCGUGGGCGGCACGCACGCCGGGUGUGGCGGCGUGGUCGGCCUACGGUGCCCUGCGAGGGGUCGCUGGACCACUCCGCUCGUCAAGUGUCUCCAUGGUGGCGUUCAUGCGGGUGGAGACGGCCUGACGCAACGGUUCGAGGUGGCUCGGGCGGUGGUGGUGGCGCAAUGAAUUCGAGAGCAAGAGCGCGCGAUUGAAAGGGGAGACCUGAGUUCGAGAUAAGGGGCGAAAGAAUGGAUUAGCCAGUGAACACUCACCUUGCGGCGACCAGGAUACAGCGUGCCAUGGAUUGGGGUCGGGGCCAUCAUCGGGGCGGGGAUGGGCGUCGUUGUGGGCAUGGACGUCGUCUCCUUCUCACUGUGGCAUGAGGUUCAUCAAGUCAUGACUGCAACGACGACGUCUCCUCGUAGUCCUGAACGGCGAGGCCUCCUCUUUGUUCCGACUGCAUGGCGAUGGCUCGGUUGCGGGAGCUAGUUGCACUCCCGUAGCCGAACCGAUGGGCGGGGAGUUGGAGAGGGAUGGGGGAGGCCUCGAGGUGGCCGGUGAAAGGUGGGGAGGAUGAAAGGCUUGAGGUGAAGAAGGGAAAGAAUGGGGGAGGUGGGUGUGUAGAUGGCAGCAAUGGCAUCCUCUAAUUUUUUGGCGCGCGAUGAGCUCGGCCAUUGCCCCUUUUCCAGGGAUGUAGGUCCCCUGCAGUACUACAUGUGCAACACUGCUCACUAACAUGUGGACCUGCAGUUCUGCAGGGGAUCUCAAUUGCUUUUGCAGAGCGAGGAUGGCAUGGGCAGGAGUCACUGGGGUGAGGCCGGCAUCAGAGGCGUCAGGGAGAGGAUGUCAUGGCACCGGCUAGGCGGCAGGGAUAGGGUUCAUGGCGACAUGCAGCAAGGACGGGAAAGACGACCACGGGUGAUUGGGAAGGCGGCUGACUCUCUGGCGGUCCGUUACCGUGCUCGUGUGCGGCAUGCCCAUGCGGUUUUUCGGGUAUGGCGGUGGCGUUCGAUCUUGCUGUCAAAAGGCAGCAUCGGUGUGUGCCAAAGAAUUAUGGGAAAAAAAUAUCAUUCCUAUUAUUUCCAUAGGUUAUAUUUUCGUUAUUUUCUACGUAUACAAUUUGGCACCAACUUCUCAUGAAAAAAAGAUGAGUAAAUUGCAUUGGCAGUACAAGAACUUGGAAGGUGGGUGCGAUUAGGUGCAAAAAUUUGAAAACCAAGCAUAGCGGUACAAGAACUUGACAGGUGAAUGCGAUUAAGUGCAAAAACUUAAAAACCGAGUAUAGCGGUACAAUAACUUGGCUAGGUGGGUGCGCUCAUGGUGCAAAAGUUGCCACGCCAUUGUUCCACCUCAGCGAAAGUGCCACAUGAGCAUGCAUUGACCAUCUCAUUUUACAGAAAAGUCCCUAAUAACUUUUAUAUUCCAAUUACUUCUUCAGAUAUGUCCGUUUUCCUCCUGUAUCACAAUGAUCAAACCAGUCCAUCUUCUCAUCCAAAUAAAUUCUGCCAACUCCAAAAAAAAAAAUCCACCACGAUACAGUUCAAUUGUGAAUUCUUCUUCCUCAUGACCUGCAAUACAAAAUAAUUGGUUGAUGUGUUAUACCGCAUAAGGAAAAUAAUACACUAAGAUUAUUUGCAGAUUAUUCAACUAAUUAUAUCUGCUGACAAGGGUACAACACAUCUAGCAAGAAUUUCUCAUUGCCAAUGUUUCUCUUAUAUCAUAUACAGUUACAGGAAACACCAAUAAUUACAGUAAAACCAAUCUAGUGGCUAGUACCAUUAGAUCACUUCAUUGAAUUGUAAUAACAAAUAACAGGAUAUUCAAGUGAAAACCCAAAAAAAUGCAGCCAUUGUACAGAUCAAUGAAACCUUAACUUCGAAAUCAUCCAUCAAAUGAACGAAAAAUAGAAAUCUACAACCAUCAGCAAGUGAUUUACCAUAACAAGCUAGGAGCAGAUGCUCCGAAAACUCGUCGAUUCAGAACCAUCCCAAAGCUUGCGGUGACCACGUCGACAGUAGCAAAUUGUUGGCUUGAAUUGGUUUGGUUACUGGUUUAGGGCUUGAACUAAUCUAGCACACGAAGCCCUCGCCGCCGCCGCGAUGUAACGGUUUCCCUCGUUGUCGUCGUCACUGCCGCCGCCACCGUCGCUGCGCCGCUAUCGCCAGCACCGCAGCCGCCUCUCAAUUAGGAACAUGUCAAGAAAGAUGGAAGGAGAUAUGCAUACGUUUGUUCUGUUUGUCGAGUUAAAAAGGAAAUGUGAUUGGAACAAAAAAAAAAAGCUAUUUGGGGUUUUCUAUAAAAUGAGAUAGGUCUUUCAUAUCAAAGCUGAUGUGGCAAUUUUGCUAAGGUGGAAUAGCAACGUUACAAUUUUUUUUACAUGGCUACUUUUGCACCAUGAGCGCACCCACCUAGCCAAGUUAUUGUACCGCUAUGCUUGAUUUUCAAGUUUUUACACCUAAUCGCACCCACCUGCCAAGUUCUUGUACCGCCAACGCAAUUUACUCAAAAAAGAUUAUAGGCCGAUAGAAAUUAAUAGAUAGCAAGUGGUGUAUACAUAAUUUCUGUUGCACGAAAGACGAUUAAAGUGUAUGGUCCGAUCCACCAACCGUAGAUCAUACAUAUCUUUUUCACAUUGGACAUGCUCCACGACAGGCCCAACUAGAGCAACAACUCUAGGUUCUAGGCUUACAUAAACAAAAUACUAGUUGAUGAAUGUCCCUCCCUUUUAAAUUGUGCUCGCCCAACAUCAAUUAUCGAUGUGUCACACAUCAGACCUAGCAAUCUCCCUGUCACAUCAACCCAUGUGACCUCGAAGACUGGUUAACCAGGUCUUCUUCUCCAUCAAAACCUUGGCUUUCAUACAACUUGUGAAAAUGUUCAACCCGGCUAACCAACCAUGGGCUACUCAUAUCACAUUGGGUCUAUUCCAACACAGGCUCAACCGGAGUCACCACUUUAGGUCCUAUUCUUAAACAACCCAAAGGACUAGUCUUAUGGGUGAGAAUUGCCUUCACCUUUUAAGCUAAGCUCUUCUAUCAUCAAUUAUGGAUGUGAGUCUAAACCCAACAAAAACAAUCUGCUGCUAUUGGUUGCUUAAAAGGCAUAUAACUAUUCACAUAUGGAUGCCAUACUGCCAUCCCAGUCCUAGACAACGAUUUCUUAACAUCAUAAUUAAAAUAGAGUUUUCUGUCACAAUACUAUUAGGACGACUAUGUCAAUUUCAGUCACUAAUUGACAACAUUGAUGGAAUGAACAUUUAUUCAGCAAAUUGUCGCCUGAGUUACAGAGGCGAGGUGGUCCAGUUGUCGUCUUACACUCCCGCGCAUGAUCAACUUAUUUAGCCCGUCGUCUGAGCUUCGCUCGUAGUCACUCGCUUCUCAGUUCUCUCACGCUGGCCAUCAUGCACCACGCCGUCGUCAAUGUUCCGGUGGCGGUCGCCGCUGCCAUGCUCUACGCCCUCCUCGUUGCCUCCCACCUAGCUCCAGGAAUUGGCCGCCUCCUCGCCCUCACCCCGGUGCUUGCCCUUCUCCUCAAUAUCACGUUCGCUAUCCCCUGCUUUACGGCGCCCGCGGCACCGCGGCCUUCUUCCUCGUCUGGCUGGGUGAGUUCAAGCUCCUCCUCCUCGCUUCGGGCCGUGGCCCGCUGGAUCCCUCCAUCCCUCCUCUUGCGUUUGUCUUCAGCGCCGCUCUCCCAGUUAAGCUCAUCCGAGUGCCCUCUGAUGAUGCCGUGGUCACGAAGCUUGCGUCUAUGCCUAUCAUGUCUCUGGCCAUCAAGCUUGCCGUCAUGGCGGUGGCCAUCUUCUACCUCCUCCACAAAAAGAACGAGAUCCAUGGUUAUACGGCCUUCACCAUCUACGUCGUCCUCACGUACUGCUUCCUCGACUUCCUCAUGCCGUGUGUUGCCGCGGUGGGCGCCGCGCUUGGCAUGGAGCUGGAGCCGCAGUUCGACAGGCCGUACCUCUCUGCCUCGCUGCUGGACUUCUCGGGAAGGCGGUGGAACCUUAUGGCGUCGGCGAUGCUCCGCCCGGCGGUGUACGACCGUGUUAGGGCCCGCCUCGGUGCACCGGGCGGCGUGCUCUCCACGUUCCUCGUGUCUGGGCUGAUGCACGAGGUGAUCGCGUACUACAUCUCCUUCCGCGCGCCCACCGGGCAGGUCACGGCGUUCUUCGCGCUUCACGGCGUGUGCAUGUGCGCCGAGAGGUGGUGCGCGCGCAGGUGCAGGCGGAGCCCGCCACGGGUCGUGGCAACGCUAGCUGCUCAUCGUGGCACUGGUGGAGAAACCAUCUUUGGUCGGUCGGCCGAAAUUCACAAUAGUCCCGGAUCCAUUUAAAACCGGGACUAAAGAUGAUCUUUAGUCCCGGUUGGUGGCUACAACGGGCAUAUGUGAUCUUUAGUCCCGGUUGGUCACACCAACCGGGACUAAAGAUGAUCUUUAGUCCUGGUUGUAGAGAUGUCAGACGUUGUCAGGGCCCUCGGGAUCUUUAGUCCCGGUUGGUGUUUCCAACCGGGACUAAAGAUCACGGCGAUCUUUAGCCCCGGUUGGUAACAUGCCUUCUUCCUCCUCCAGCCCGAGAGCAAGCUUCAAAAUUUCUCAAAGAAAGAGGGGAGGUCAUGCCAAAAUUUCUUGUGAAAUUUUUUUUAAUGAUUAUAUACAAAUCGGAAGUGUCUAAAAGGUUAGUAACUUCAUCCUCCAAUGUUUUUUGUUGUUAUAUUACUUUUGGAGCUAUGUUUCACACAUUUUUUUUUGUCUCCAAAACUUUGUUGUAAGUUGAUGAGAGAGAAAAUUUGUGUGGGGAAGAAGAAUAUAUAGAAAUUUUAUUCUCAUAGUUUAAAAUAUGAUGGAAAUUAAUCUUAAAAAAUAGACAACAAACUAAAUUGAAAAUUAAGAGAAGUACAACAUUAAUAUUAGUUUAGAACUUCAAAAAUUGUUAAUAAGAAUUGCUUGUCGAAAGAGUUUUUAAUUAUUUUAUCAUUACUGUUUGACUGUCAUUAUUGUACGAAAAUUUAUUUAUGUACGAUUUUUUUUCAUUUGAUGUAGAUGGAUCGGCAAUGGAUGUACGCUGACCGGCGGUCCAAAGAGUUUAUCGAGGGCGUGCAUUAUCUUUUGAGAGUGGCCGAAGCUAACAAGCGUAACGGUUUUAUUUGUUGUCCAUGCAAUAAGUGUAAGAACCAGAAGGAGUAUUCUGCAUCCAGGAUUAUUCAUUUCCACUUGUUUGAGUCGGGGUUCAUGCCAAGCUAUAAUUGUUGGACAUCCCACGGUGAGGAAGGGGUUGAAAUGGAAGAAGAUGAAGCGGAGGACGAGAACAUUCCCGACUGGGCUCAGUACGCUGGAUUUGAAGGAAAUCAAACGGGCGAGGUGGACAGGGAUGCUGGCGAUAACGACACUGCAGAUGAUCUUGGUCAGAUGUUGCAGGACGCAAAGGAGGACUGUGAAAGUGAAAAGGAGGCCCAUAAAUUAGAGCGGAUGUUAGAGGACCACAGAACAUCAUUGUCCCCAGGUUGCGAGCGGGGGCACAAAAAGUUGGAUACCACUCUGGAGUUCUUGCAAUGGAAGGCAAAAAAUGGUGUUAGUGACAAGGCAUUUCGCGAUUUAUUGAAACUCAUCAAGAACAUUCUUCCGGAGGGAAACAAAUUGCCCGAGACAACGUACGAGGCUAAGAAGAUAGUCUGCCCUCUAGGAUUGGAAGUUCAGAAGAUUCACGCAUGUCCGAAUGAUUGUAUCCUAUAUCACGGUGAGGAGUACGAGAACCUAGAAGCAUGCCCUGUUUGUAAAGCACUACGAUACAAGAUUAGACGAGAGGAUCCAGGUGAAGUUGACGGGCAGCCAACAAAGAAGAGAAUUCCUGCUAAGGUGAUGUGGUAUUUCCCUAUAAUACCACGGCUAAGGCGUUUGUUCAGGAACAAGGGGAAUGCUUGAAUGAUGCGUUGGCACACUGAAGAACGUCAACAGGACGGGAAGCUGAGACACCCCGCCGAUGGUUCGCAGUGGUGAAACAUCGAUAGAAAAUUUAAAUACUUUGGAAAGACGCACGAAACAUACGGUUUGGUUUAAGUACGGAUGGCAUGAAUCCUUUUGGAGAGAUGAGCAGCAGCCAUAGCACUUGGCCCGUUACGAUGUGUAUCUACAACCUCCCCCCUUGGCUAUGCAUGAAGAGGAAGUACAUAAUGAUGCCGAUUAUUAUUCAAGGCCCCAAGCAACCUGGUAACGACAUCGAUGUGUACCUAAGACCAUUGGUCGAAGCUCUUAAACUGUUGUGAAAAAAGGAAGGUGUCCCCGAGUGGGACGAAGAUAAGCAGGAGGAGUUUAACCUACGAGCGCUGCUGUUCGUAACCAUCAACGAUUGGCCUGCAUUUAGCAACCUUUCCGGGCAGUCCAACAAGGGGUACAAGGCUUGCACUCACUGUAUGGAUGAAACAGAAAGUACGUAUCUUAAGCACUACAGGAAGGUUGUGUACAUUUGUCAUCGUCGAUUCCUUGUUGCAAACCACCCGGCACUUUGAACAUAAGGCAGACCACCGUACGAAGCCUAAACAUCGCAGCGGGAAAACAGUGUUUGCUAUGGUUAAAGAUCUUAAAGUAGUGUUUGGAAAGGGGCCUGGAAGCCAGCCUAUAGAGAGCGAAGAUGGUCACGCGGCGAUGUGGAAAAAGAACACUAUAUUUUGGGAGUUACCCUUUUAGGAAUUCUUGGACGUCUGCCAUGCAAUCGACGUGAUGCACCUCACUAAGAACCUUUGCGUAAACCUUCUUGGUUUCCUAGGUGUAUAUGGAAAGUCGAAAGAUACACUAGAAGCACGUAAUGAUCUGAAGCAUAUGGAACAACGCAGCGACCUUCACCCGGAACCAAAGGAGAAAGGAAGCCAUUACUUGAGUCCAGCCAGCUAUACUCUUAGCAAGGCAGAGAAGGAAAGUAUGUUUGAAUGCUUGGAGAGCAUAGAGGUACCGUCUGGAUACUCCACGAAUAUAAAGCGAAUAAUAAGCACGAAGGAGAAGAAGUUCACAAACCUAAAGUCUCCUGACUGUCACGUGUUGAUGACACAACUGCUACCAGUUGUAAUAAGGGGUAUCCUUCCAGACAAUGUCCGGGCAACAAUAACAAAGCUAUGUGCUUUCAUGAAAGCAAAUUUGCAGAAGGUCAUCGAUCCGGAUAGAUUAGAAGCCCUUCAGAAUGAUGUGGUGCAAUGUCUUGUCAGUUUUGAGUUGAUAUUUCCACCUUCAUUUUUCAAUAUAAUGACGCAUCUGCUUUGUCACCUUGUCAAAGAGAUCGGUAUUCUCGGGCCUGUGUACCUACAUAACAUGUUUCCUUUCGAGAGGUACAUAGGCGUUCUGAAGAAAUAUGUUCGUAACCGUGCUCGUCCAGAGGCAAGCAUCGCCAAGGGGUAUGGAACAGAGGAGGUCAUCGAACUCUGCGUAGAAUUUAUUGAAGACCUUCGCCCAAUCGGGGUACCUGAAUCAUGCCAUGAAGGGAGACUACGGGGAAAGGUGGUUCUCGGAAGGAAAGCAAGAAUGACGGUAGACAACAAUUUAUUCCGUAAAGCCCAUUUCACGGUUCUGCAACAAUCUUCAUUGGUGGCUCCUUACAUCGAGGAGCACUUGGCUCUAGUUCGCGCCAGAAACAUCGGUAAGUCCGAUGCAUGGAUUACACGGCAUCACAUUGAUACUUUCCCCGCGUGGCUACGACAACAUCUCAUGGGUAACGAGACGAUUAACCAACAACUGGCCUUCCUGGCGAGAGGACCAUCUGGCUCGAUCGCGACAUUCUAGGGAUAUGAGAUCAAUGGGUACACAUUCUACACGAGAGCCAAAGACAUGAAGAGCACGAACCAAAACAGCGUUGUUCGUAUCGAUGCCAUGGGACACGAUGGAACAACUGGCACGUAUUACGGUGCCAUCGAGGACAUAUGGGAAGUUGACUAUGGUCCACUCAAGGUCCCUCUAUUCAGGUGCCAAUAGAUUAGGUUGACUGGUGGAGGCGUAACGAUUGAUGACAGUGGGAUGACAACGGUUGACCUUAACAAGGUUGGAUACUCGGACGAACCUUUUGUCCUUGCCAAUCAUGUAACGCAAGUCUUUUACGUGAAGGACAUGUCUAGCAAAGGAAAGAAGGGCAAAGGGCCUGACGAGCCGAAGCGCCACAUGGUUUUCCCAGGUGUUAACAACCAAAAUUGGUAAUGUCAGCAUCGGAAAGGAGGAUUAGAUCGAAGUGGAGUCGAAGGCGGAGAUCGAUUCGAGAACAGAGCAAGAAUCGGCUGGAGUCCAGAUCGGCUAUGAUCAGGAUCGGCUGGGUCCGAGUCAGACUAGGUGAGCUGAUACAGCCGAUUCUGACAACACGACUUGGUGUACAACAUCGGGUUGAGUCGAUAUGUUUCAAGAUGAUUGCCGCACAUGGAUAGAGUCCUGAGAAGUCAAUUGUAUCUAUUAAUUAGGAUGUUUUAUGUAAUUUUCUUAGAGAUAUAUUUAGGGCAAAAGUCUGCCGCAAAGACUUAUGGUAUCUUAGAGUUUGUUAGAGAUAAGAGUCGUGUCCGAUAUGGACAUAGUUUGUAAUUUUCGGGUAUAAAUAGACCUCGAAACUCAUGUAAACAAUUAACACAUAUGUUCAAUACAAUUUGGCGCAUCGCCACCUUUUACCUUUUCCACUUUAUUUUAUCAUCCGGCGGGACUUGGCACCUGACGCGGGGCUGCAUCUGUGUUCGAUCUCCGACUAAGGGGUAAGUCCAAUGUUCCGCCGGCCCGGGCAAUUGUAUCGUCUACGUCGGUGUCGUUCAAGGCUGCAUCAGUACAUUCGACCUCUUGGAUUGCUCUGGUUUAGAUGAUAUAUUUGUCUACCUAUUUAUCAUAUGUCUCUAUUAAUCUAGUCUUAGCAUAUCAAUUUAGCUCUAUCGGCUGCUUCUCGCUUUAGGGUUUCUGCCGGUAUCGGCUAAAUCGCGUUGCUAGAUUAGAUUAGCCUAGGCAUCUACCACCCUGAAAACUCAGUCAACGGCUUGAUUGUCUAGAUAUUGUGUUUCUUUUCAUACUUAGUGCUGCAUCAGUUAAGUUUGAUCUACUAAGUCGUGCUUAGAACCAUAUUCUCUAGCCUGCUUCUUGAUUGCCAAUAAGGGUUUCAUCGGGGUUUCAGCCGGUGAGUUAUCUGGACGUUGCAUCGGCUCAUAAGGAUUGCAUAUACAUAUAAGUUGGAUUUAGCCGAUGACAACAAAGGUUUCACUGUUUAAUCUAAUCUUGUAGAUUUCAUGACAUCGGACCUCCAGCCGAUGUAUGCUUUAACCUUCGGAUCGAUGCUUAUUUAUCAUAUCAUUAUUUGUCGAUUGGUUUAUAUUAGAUUAUAUUGUUAUUUCAUUACAUCGUUAUCAGCCGAUUGCCUUCAUAUCAUUAUCUACAUUGGACAUAUAGCCGAUUGCUUAAACCCUAUCGCUAUCGGCUGGUAUCGACAUCGACUAUUAUCGGCUAUCGGCUGGAACUACUCCAUCGGCUUGUCAGCCGAUCGACUGUUUUGAUCUACUAUUUGCAUAUCUUGUCAGUUGCAGGAACAAACUGACUGGCACACUCGCAUCUCAUCAAGAUUUGGACCUGCACAGGAGCUAAGCAGAUCUCCCAGGCCAGUGUGUGUUUUUUGCAUCAACACAAAUUGGCAUGCCCGAUGGGACACAUUAGAAGUCAGCAAGCGGUUUCUUCAUGGUCGAGAAACCACCAUCAUCACCGUCCUCGGCUAGCCCAGGUUCUAUUAAAGAGAAGAUCCAGAAGUUAGGUUUGUCAGAGGUUAAUGAAGGGAACAUUGUGACCAUCGAUCCAGAGAAGUUCACACCUGAUCAAAAGAAUGAUUUUGAAGCGAUGAUGUAGCAAGCACGAGAACAGUUCUUGAACUCGUUCAUGCAGACCCGCAAGGGAGCACUUGUUCAGAAGUAUAAAAUAAAGGUGGUUCCUGAUGACCCCGGGACUAGUUCUUCCAAGGAUGACGAAGGGAAACAAGCUCCAGAUGGCUCGGCUCAACCGAGUGACAAAGGUUCUACAGAUGGUUUUCCAGCAAAUCAAGGUGACAACUUGCAAGGAGUGCACGGGGUUCAAGGCGAUGGUUCUCAAGGUGUUCAAGGUGAUGGUGUUCAAGGUGGAGGUGUUAAUCAAGACGGCAAUGCAGCACAGUUGCAGUUCAACAACUUUCAAGAUUAGGUUGACUAUGCUGUACACCAUGCUUUAAUCAAUCAAUUUGGGAUAUUAACUAAUACUUUGGCAAACAUGGUGAAGUCAAUGGUUGAUGGUUCAAUGGCCGAGUAUCAAGCUACAGGACUAGUGUACUUACCAGGAGGGGUAUUCCCUAAUUAUCGGCCAUUAAUCACCGAUAAUCAACCAGUCAUCCAGUCGAUUCCUCUUAAUGCACCAUCGGCUCAGCCGGCAGCACUGGUGUCGCUUCCUGCACCUGCUCCACCACCUUCGGCUCCAGGCCAAAGAAUAAAUCCCUGGUUGUUGGUAAGGGAACAGCCACAGCAUGCUGGACAGAAUGUGAAUCGGCUAACGCAAGACCAGGUUGCAUCUAUGUUCUUACCUCCUCAGCACACCAUUGAUCAAACCCAGCAGCAGCCGAUUCAAUAAACACCGCCAAGGCAGCAGGUUGUUCAACCAGUUCAGUCAACACUCCCAAUCCAACAGGUUGUGCAACCAGUUCAACAGACACCACCCAGACGACAGGUCUUGCAGCCAAUUCAGCAAACGCCAUUAAGGCAGCAGGUUGUUCAGCCGAUUCAGCAGCAAGGCUCUAUGAAUGCAUUGGCUGGGUUUGCAACACUGGGUGGUCAGCCUGGGCAGCAUGCUGCAAAUCAAGUUAUUCCAGAGCACUUGGUUCAUCACGUACAACCAGAUGGCACAGUGAUUCCUCAAGUUAUUCCUGAGCAUUUGGUGCACAAUAUUCAGCCGGAUCUUCAAAAUUACUAGGGGGCAAUUUGAAUUAUCAGUAUCAGCCGCCAUCACCCCAAGUUCAGUAUCAGCAGGCAUGAUCAGCUCAACCCCAAUUUGUUCCUCAAUACAACCAAUUCGAGCCUAUGACACAGCAAUCUCAAGGAACACCUCAACAACAACAAUGGGCCGAUUUGAUUGCAGAUGUCAUGAAGGAGCUGUUUGGGCUUAGGCCGAAAGAUGCUGGAAAUUUGUACCGACAACCCUAUCCUGAGUGGUUUGAGAGGGUUCCUUUGCCCAAUCGGUUUAAGGUACCGGACUUUUCGAAAUUUUCAGGGCAAGAUAGUACAUCGACUUGUGAGCACAUUAGCCGAUUUUUAGCCCAGUGUGGUGAAGCAUCGGCUGUGGAUGCCUUGAAGGUUAGGUUGUUCCAGUUAUCUUUGUCUGGAUCGGCCUUUACUUGGUUUUCUUCUUUACCAUAUGGAUCAAUUAACAGUUGGGCCGAUUUAGAAAAACAGUUUCACAACUAUUUUUAUAGUUUGGUUCAUGAGAUGAAAGUGUCCGAUCUGACAUCGAUCAAGCAAAGACAUAAUGAGCCUGUGCAUGAGUACAUUCAGAGAUUCAGAGAGAUGAGGAAUAAGUGCUACAGCUUAAGUUUGACUGAUGCCCAGUUAGCCGAUUUGGCUUUUCAGGGUAUGAUUGCUCCAAUCAGGGAGAAAUUCUCAUCUGAGGAUUUUGACAGCUUGUCCCAUCUCGCACAAAAGGUGACCUUGCAUGAACAAAGGUCUGUCCUUAUAUGUAUGGGUCGGAUGAUGAGGAUGAUGAUUCUGAGAUAGCUGUGGCCGAAUGGGUAAGGAGCAAAAAGGUUAUACCGUGCCAAUGGGUAAAGAACACAGGAAAAGAGGAGAGGUAUGACUUUGAUAUCACCAAGGCUGACAAGAUUUUUGACUUACUACUCCGGGAGAAGCAAAUUCAACUUCCUACUGGUCACACAAUUCCAUCGGCUGAGGAAUUGGGCAAGAAAAGGUAUUGCAAGUGGCAUAAUUCUGGGUCUCAUACGACUAAUGAUUACAAGGUCUUCAGGCAACAAAUCCAAGAGGCUAUUGAAGGAGGCAAAAUCAAAUUUGAUGACACUAAGAGGCCGAUGAAGGUUGAUGGCAAUCAUUUUCCUGUUAAUAUGGUGCAUACAGCUGGCCGAACAGCCGAUGGGGGCCGUGUAAGAGGUUUUCAGGUAAAUUCGACUAAGAUUAUCAACAAAUAUCAAAGGAAGUACGACAAGCAACAGGAAAAGCAUUGUGAAGAAGAUGAUGAUGGCUUUAAUCCUCAUUAGGGCUGUGAGUUCUUUAGAUUUUGUUGGAAUGAAGGCAUGAGGCUGCCAUCUAUUGAGGACUGUCCUGGGUGCAGUGAUGUUGGAGAGAGCUCGAGCCGAUCAUAUAGUAGGGGCAAUCGGCUAAGGCAGAUGAGAAUUCCUAUUCAUCAAAGAUUGGGUCCAGUAAACCAAGAUCGUGGAUAAGAGGACAAUGAAAACAUGAAGACUCAAUGGUGUCCUUCUGGUAUCUUUAUGAAGAAUCAAAAGAAAAGGGUUCAAAGAUUGAGGAACAGAGAGCGCUUUUAGGAAGUCGAGCAGGAAAUCAACCAUCGGAUGAAGAAAACAAAGCCGAGGCAGGAGUGGCGUGCUAAGAAUCAAGUUCUGGUGGCCGAUGAAGCCACAGCCGAUGAAGCAAAAAGGUUGGCUAAAGGAAACAGCGUUGUAACUGCUUCGGUCAACAUGGUUUUCACGUUGCCUACCGAGUUUGGGAUCAAGCAAGCCGAUAUCGAUGAAGUUGAAGAAGAAUCGGCUAAAUUGAUUUUGUCGCCAGAGCAGGUAGUUUUUGAGAAGCCAGAGGGGACGGAGAAUCGGCAUCUUAAGCCAUUGUAUAUAAAUGGUUAAGUCAAUGGGAAGCCGAUGUCCAAGAUGAUGGUCGAUGGUGGGCCUGCAGUAAAUUUGAUGCCUUACACUACAUUCAGGAAGUUGGGCAGAAACGCUGAAGAUCUCAUCAAGACAAACAUGGUGCUCAAAGAUUUUGGCGACAAUCCAUCAGAAACCAAUGGAGUUUUGAAUGUGGAGCUGACAGUCGGCAACAAAACUGUCCCUACAACGUUUUUUGUCAUCGAUGGGAAGGGUUCUUAUAGCUUGUUGCUUGGAAGGGAUUGGAUUCAUGCUAAUUGUUGUAUUCCUUCAACCAUGCAUCAAUGCCUGAUUCAGUGGCAAGGCGACAAGAUUGAAAUUGUGCCAGCCGACAGGUCAGUCAAUGUUGCCAGUGCCGAUUUAGCUCUUUGGGAGACGGAUGGUCUUGAUUGUUUAUCUGGAAAAGAUUGGGGUGGAGAUUUUCUAAAAGUGUCCGAUUCUGAUAUACAGCCAAUUGAAGGAGAACCCAAGCUAUUAUUUUGAGGGCGUCGUGGAGGGUUCAGAUGUCUACAACAAGGACACAGUAGAUGAUCUCGAUGACAAACAAGGACAGGGUUUUAUGUCGGCCGAUGAUUUGGAAGAAAUUGAUAUAGGUCCAGGUGAUCGACCAAGGCCGACAUUUAUUAGUAAGAAUUUGUCUGCAGAAUUUAGAACCAAGUUGAUAGAGCUGUUGAAAGAAUUCAGAGAUUGCUUCGCUUGGGAGUAUUAUGAGAUGCCUGGACUUAGCCGAUCGAUUGUUGAACAUCGGCUACCUAUCAAACUAGGGGUUAGGCCACAUCAACAAACUCCGAGGAGAUGCAAAGCCGACAUGCUUGAACCUGUCAAGGCUGAGAUUAAACAAUUAUACGAUGUUGGUUUUAUUCGUCCUUGCCGAUAUGCUGAGUGGGUUUCUAGUAUAGUUCCUGUUAUUAAGAAAAACGGCAAGGUUAGGGUGUGCAUUGAUUUCCGAGACCUAAAUAAAGCUACCCCGAAUGACGAAUAUCCAAUGCCGGUGGCCGAUCAGCUGAUUGAUGUUGCGUCAGGGCACAAAACUUUGAGUUUUAUGGAUGGAAAUGCGGGAUAUAAUUAGAUUUUUAUGGCCGAAGAGGAUAUUCAUAAGACGGCUUUUAGGUGCCCUGGUGCAAUUGGCUUGUUUGAAUGGGUUGUGAUGACUUUCGGCUUGAAGAGUACUGGAGCUACAUAUCAAAGAGCUAUGAAUUACAUAUACCAUGAUCUAAUCGGCUGGUUGGUUGAAGUCUACAUUGAUGAUGUGGUUGUUAAGUCUAAGGAGAUAGAGGACCACAUAGCCGAUUUGAGGAAAGUUUUUGAGAGAACUAGAAAAUAUGGCCCGAAGAUGAACCCAUGCGUUCAAUACAAUUUCGGCGAGCCCCCCAGGUCCGAAAUAUUUGGUAAUGUUUCGAAUUUGCUGUAUAUCGACUCCGAGCAAGUUUUGCACUUUACCGUUUUCCGACCGUUACACCCGUGCUUUAAAUACUAACCGUCACCCUCGAGAAAUCUUUACCCCGUUACUUCCGUCUUCACCGCCGAAGCCAACCUUCUCCUUUCUCUCUCCGGCGAUUCCUCCGACGCUCGAGGCGAUCCCCAAGCGACUUCGUCUCCGGUUAGAUCUCCGCCUGCGACGAUGUCGUCUUCCUCCAGCCCGUCUACCGCGCCAUCAGCCGAGUAUGCUGAGGUAAGUUCUCAUCGGCUAGAUCCCUUUUCCUCGCAUAAAAUCGAUUCCUCCUUUUCUCAUUGUGUUUUCCUCUUCCCAAUUUCUUUGGAUUUGCAGCACAUUUCCAACCUAGUUGCGAUCCCCAGCCUGUCGCACGAAAACCACUAUUUUCUUGGCCCAAUCGGCAAUCUUGACCCCACUGAUUUUAUCAUCGGUGAAACCAACAGAAUCCCCUUUAGACUAGCCAACCCUAAUCUAGGUCACUGGAAGAAUACUUUCAAAUCUUGGUCAUCUCUUGAGAAAACCACCCCUGAGAAGAGUUGGACCACAUGGUACCAGUGCAUAUCGGCUAGUAAGAAGGUUCAUUGGAAUGAGAUCGGGAUCGGCCAAGCGCUUGCUCUCACCAUAGCCAAAUCUGCUAAGGACGAACCUCUGAUGGCUGCCGCCACCUAUUUCUGGUCCAACACCAUCAAUGCUUUCUUGUUCAACCGAGGGCCGAUGACUCCAACUUUGAUCGACAUUACCAUGAUCACUGGUUUAGAUGUGACUUCAUCGGCUAAUCCUAUGAGCAUGAACACAAAAAAUCAGUUUUAUUUUAGAACUAAAAGCAUAGGUGGCUGGUCUGGCUAUGUGGCAGCAUAUACGGGCCAAGGGUCUGUUACUUCUCGAGAGCAUGUAGCUUUCUUGCUAAUGUGGCUAGAAAAGUUCUCUUCUGUGGAUCCAGCUGUGGCCCUACAACCAAUUGGCAAUUUGUAGCUGAAGCCCUAGAAUCAAAGAAACAAUUUCCUUUGGGCAAAAUCCUCCUUGGCUAUCUGUACCAAAUGUUGAACAAUGUGUCGGCCAAGAUAGCCGUCGGCUCAGUAGUUGGUGCAGGUGGACCAUGGU